CUCGUGUGUAUAAAAUGAUUGCUACCCCUAAGUUGAGGAGAUCUUAGAGACAGACUUUACCAACUAAUCUGUGCACUGCAGUUUAUUAGGGAGUAUGAAGUCAGAGAUUCUGGGAGUUAUUACGCAGUAUGAAGUCAGAGAUUCUGGGAGUUUAUUAGGCAGUAGUAUGAAGUCAGAAUCUGGGAGUUUAUUAGGCAGUAGUAUGAAGUCAGAGAUUCUGGGAGUUUAUUACGCAGUAUGAAGUCAGAGAUUCUGGGAGUUUAUUACACAGUAUGAAGUCAGAGAAUCUGGGAGUUUAUUAGGCAGCAGUAUGAAGUCAGAGAUUCUGGGAGUUUAUUAGGCAGUAUGAAGUCAGAAUCUGGGAGUUUAUUAGGCAGUAGUAUGAAGUCAGAGAAUCUGGGAGUUUAUUAGGCAGUAGUAUGAAGUCAGAGAAUCUGGGAGUUUAUUAGGCAGUAGUAUGAAGUCAGAGAAUCUGGGAGUUUAUUAGGCAGUAGUAUGAAGUCAGAGAAUCUGGGAGUUCACCAGCAUUGUGAAGUUAUAGUUUCUGAGAUUUCAUAGAAAUUGUGGGACUUCAUCUGCGUAAUGAAAUCUGAUUUUCAGUUUUAAUAAGCAUGAUGUAUUCAGAGAUUCCUCGAGUUCAUCAGUAUUGUGAAGUCAGAGAUUCCGGUAGUUCAGUUGGUGCACAGAGAAUGCCAUUUUUAUUUCGAGGCAUGAUCUAUCCAGCUGUUUGCAUUGAUAAAAUGCCUAAAUAUCCCUAGACGCUCUUUGCAUAUUCCUGCUUUUCUCUUUUGUUCUCCACUUACUUUUCUGAUCAGUUAUGCAGAACACACUGAUAUGCAUAUUUUGCUGCAAAACAACAGUCAUAUUUAUUAGCGUCUGAGGGAUACUGUACAACAAUAGCCUGUUACGGUCUUCUUGAUCCUCUUGAGUGUUUCUCUUGUUUGAAUCGUAUAUGAAUAUUAUUAAACACUGUGAAUAAUAAAAUGUCUUUUUUUUCCCCUUAUCUGCCUUUUGUAUAGCUAUAGUCUAAUUGUCUGAUAGCAUGAAAAUCAUUUAACGAUACUAUCUCAUCUCAAUAACAUUGUUCAAAUACUACUUGUAGGAAUGCUUUAUUAGUCAACACUAACAGCAGCUCAUAACCACAAACUGUAGUGGUGUGGACUGACAUCAAUAACGACAUAGCCUCAAUCAAAAUUAAGUUGUGAGGCUAUCACACUUGAUUUAUGCAAGUGCAGCUUCAGAUUCAAUAGCAUACAGUCAUCUUGCAUACCGUGCAGUCUAGUAACUUGCUUUGAGCAGGUUUAUUACUUUAAAGGCAACAUAACCUGCCUCUAUAAUGCAUUUCUAGCGUCGCACACACUGUUUCAUGCUGGCCACAUGCGCACAGAUUUUCACUUUCUCGUGAUCUCACUGUUGAAUUAUAUUAAAAAAUAUCUAUGGCUCUCAACCCUCAUCCUAAGUCAAUGAGCAUUAAUAGCUGCACAAGUUUGAAACGUGUGAUCCUAAUCUCUCACAUAGAAAAACCACACACAAAAACAGCACGAUGUGAACCAGGAUGUGGGUUUUUCAUGUUAUUUUUGGUGGAGUAUGUUCAGUCCACCAUGCUUAACAAUAUGGAAAGGAAUUGUUAUUAUCGUUGAUGUAUUGCGUUAAUAAAAACUUGUGGAAGAGAAUGUCUUUAAAUGUUAGCUUUAAGACACUUCCUUCUUGUGUGGAUCUUUAAAAAGUGAGAAACCGUAAUCACCAGUUCUUCCUGUGUGCUUAAGAAGUUAAUGGUUCAGGAAAAUGAACCUUUUAGUGUAUCGCCUUAAUUUAAGGUAUAAUUCAGCUUUUUGGCCUUGAAAUGCCUUGAACAUUUAUGCUGUUUUCCCUCAGCAGACGAUUUCGUAAACCACUCAUAUGAGCAUUUCCACAAGACAUUUGACCUUCAUUAAAAA
ensembl:lncRNA